rnacentral:misc_RNA from 1 species
CCGCAGACACGGUCGUCAGCGCGUUGACGAAAAAAUAGACCGCGAUGUCGAGGAUCGCCGGCAUGCAGAUCGGCACGGUGACGCGGCCGAAGGUGCGCCAGAACGGCACCUUCAGCGAGGCGGAAACGGACUCGAAUUCCGGAUCGAUCUGCUUCAGCGCGGUCAGCGCAGUGAUGUGGGCGACAGUGUAGAAAUGCGCGACGCAGUUCACGACGAGCACGAGCAGCGUGCCGUAGAGGAUGUUGAGCGGAUUCCAGCUC